AUGCAGAGCCUUUUAUUGGUCAUGAACCAGCAAGAUGAAGGAUGAGAACGCACUCGGAGGCAGCGCGCGUGGGAGAAGGCGGCCUGGAGGCUUGGGACUCGGGCAAGGGGAGGCCAGCAGGUCCAGCAGGGCCACCGCCCACGGUUCCCGCCUGCGGCACGGGGAGUCCCUGAGACCCAGUGGCUUAAACGCAGCAGCCCCGCGAUCCGAGGUCCCGGCCGGUCCAGAGCUGUCUGUCCCACAGGCGCCCUGCGCUCACGGUAUCACAGAGCUGCAGAGCCUCCCCUGCAGCCCUGGCCCUGGGCCGCCCCUGGCUGACCGGCUGCACUCGGUGAGCCGAGCCUCACCCCGCUGGGGAGGAGCACGCCGGCCCCUUGCUGGGGCGCGUCCCCUUCCUGUGGGGCCCGAUCCGGAGUCAGGACACUCCCGUGUGUUUCACAUGACCCCGUGGGUCCUGUCAACCUCCUGAGGCCUCUGUGGCUCCGGGCCAUCGUCGCAGGGGCCAGAGUUCCUCCCUGUGUCUGCGAUGCCCCCCCCUUUCUGACCAGAUGAGGGAGCUGGAGACCCUGGAGACCAGAGCAGGCCCAGCAGACAGGCCCUCUGGCGGCUGCCCAACCUUCCUGCUGGAUCCCCGCAGGGAGGAGCCGGGCUGACCACGCACCCAGGGGCUUCCCAGGAGCCCUCACUGCACGUGGGCCCUGCCUGUCCCCCCACCAGGUGGCCCACUCUGACCGCGGCCACCUGGGCUGCGCUCCAGCAUUGGACGCCCUGUGCAUUGCGGCUGCCCCGCCACCGAAGGUGCCCUGGACAGUCAGGGGGAGGGUGGCACAGGCCCCAGGCUGCAGGGGGACCCGAGCUCUGUGUAGCCAGGGGCCCUUCCCGUCUCUUUCUUGGGAAGAGUCUGUUCAGACCUUCUGACCCUCCAGACAUCCAGCUGUUCUGCGGAGUCGCAGGAGCUCUUCCUGAAUCCUGCAUGCACACGUGCACACACACACACGCGCGCAGGCACACACAAACACACAUGCAGGCACACAAACACACGCAGGCGCACACACACACACGCACACACACAGGUGCACACACACUCAGGAACACACACGCAUACACACAGGCAUACACACAGGUGCACGCACAAACACGCACACACACAGGUGCACACACACAAACGCACACACACACAUGCAGGCACGCACACACACGCACAUACAAACGCAGGCGCACACGCACGCACGCACACACAGGCGCACACACAUGCACGCGCGAACACACGCACACACACACAGGCACACACAUGCACGCAUGCACAAACACAGGCGCACACGCGCGCGCGCACACAUAGGUGCACAUACAUGCACACACACCGGCACGCACACAUGCGCGCGCACACACACAGGCACACACACACAGGCAUACACACUCGCACACACACAGGUGUACACACACGCAGGCGCACACACAUGCACACACAGGCGCACACACUUGCACACACACAGAGGUGCACACAUACGCAGGCACAUACACACACACGCACAUGCACACACGCACACCGGCACAUAUGAGCGCGCACACAUGCACGCGCACACACAGGCACACAUGCACGCGCUCACACACACGCAGGCACACAGGCACACAUGCAUGCGCACACACACGCAGGCACCCACACACACAGGCACAUGCACGUGCACACACACGCAGGCACACACACACACACACGCACACACCUGCAGGCACACACACAGGCACACGCGGGCACACACACGCACACGCAGGCAUACACAUGUACACACAGGCCCCACACACACAGGCGCGCACACACGCAGGCACACACACACAGGCACACAGGCACACACAGGCACACACACGCAGGCACACACACACAGGGACACGCACAUGGGCGCCCUGCCUCCCCCAGGUCCCGAUGCCCCAUGGCCUGGGGGCGUGUCCCACCCCGUCUGUUCAGCCCUCGGGGCACAGCACUGCCCGCACUGACGGCCCAGGCCCCCGGCCGACCCGCGCUUUCUCCGGCCCAUACGCGGCAUGCCUUUGAGGGACACUUGCUCCUCUGGUUGGAAGCAGACCCUGCGUUUCCUUCCACGGCCCCCGCCACAGCUGCGCCACUGAGACGAAUACCAGGCAGGGUGCUGGCUCGGGCCGCUGCUGGGGACCCGGGGCGGAUGUGGCCUCGGGGGCCUGUCUGAGGCCCCAGACACGAGGCCAGUUCAGGAGGGUCCAGCUGUGGUGCGUGAGGCCCCAGACUGGUGGAGAGCUGGUGUCCACGUCGCCUCCAGUGGGGGGAGGACGGGCGUGGCAGUGGCCUGGGGAGCACCGGCAGCCAGAAGCCAUGAGCCGAGGGGCCCAGGGCAGGGAAGGGCUCCUGUGGCCACCGUUGGCCAGAGGCGGCAGUGCAGAUUCUCAGCAAGUCCCCGUGGGAGAGUCGUCUGCAGGCCCCUGGCCCUGUGCUGGGGACCCAGGGGACCCUGCCACACAAGGUCUGUCUUCACAGGACCAGAGUGGCUGGAUCUCGGGGGCGUGGUCUUUCCUGCCCCCCGCCCUGGCGGAGCGUCAGGGAGCCUCCCUCGUGCUGCACCCACUUUAGCGUGCCCCUGCCCUCAGAACCCGCCUCCUUUCGCUCCUUUCUGGCCUGGGUCUCCCGCCUCCACCUCCACCCCGCGGUCACCUGACAUCCCGACUCACCUGCGUCUUCAGCAGCUCAGAAGCCCAGAUCCUGCCACCUGGAGGCUGAAGCCAGGGGGAGGUGGGGAGAAGCCAGAGGCCAGGUGGGGUCCUGCUCCCUCCCCAGCGGGGGUGCCGCGUGGCCUUAAGAAGCUGCAACUAGACAGCUUAGGGAGGGGACACCACCGGACAGGUUUGAUUUUUAAGUGCAUGGGCUCAGGGUUAUAUAAGCUGGCCGGUGUGUUUACUAAGUCAUGGGGAAGCUCGGAGAGGAGGGGGAGGGACAGAGACAGAGACAGACAGACAGAAGGAGAGACACACAGAGACAGAGCCCGGGAGGGAGAAGCCGCAGGGCUGGUCCGGCACAGACAGGCACAGGGCCGCCCUGGCCCCCCGCAAGGGUCAUCGUCCACUAAAGGUGUGAGGUCGCCUGCGGACCCCCAGAGGCCUGCCUGCGGGGCCCCUGACUCCUGGGGCAGCUCCUCACGGGAGAGUCGGUCCGAGCAGACGGGGCCGAGGGUGUGCCUGGAGGCGGGUGAUUCCUGGGCCCCCCCCCACCUGAGGUUGGGGGAAGACUCAGGGGCCAUAGGCACCAUGGCUGGUGCUGCACUCCCCCCUCCCUGCAGGCUGGGCCGCCCUCCCCGACGAAGGUGCUGGGUGUCCUGGGGGCUGAGGCGCAGCAAGGGGCCUGUGAUAAAGGAGGCCAGCUCUGGGUCAGCGCCCUUUCCGGGCUGGGAGGGACGGUCGCUCUCUGGCAGCGUGAGGGGCCAUGACCUGCUAGGGGAUGGGGCUUGGUCACCACCAGGAAGCAAACGAUGAGCCGAAGUGAAUCAGCCUCUGUGGGUUCUCCUGGCACCGUUGCCCGCCUGGGUGGCGAGAGUGUGACCGUUAAGUCAGUCGUUCCUUCCUCCAGCUCAAGGCCACUGUCACUUGCCAAGUCAGCGGCCACUUCAAGGCAUCCAAGGUUUUGAGGGGUGAGGAUGCACAAGGGGGGCCGUGAGCAGAGCUGCCAGGAGGGCGACACAGGCCACGUGCCCACUGGCCCCGACUGACCAGGCAGGUGUCAUCAGGCACUCGAUUAAUUGAACUAAUUAGCCAAAUCGGAGUCAGAUUCAGGCCUGAUUUUCCAAGCCGGCCUGUGUUUUUCUGGGCCGUGUGUUUCGGUUUCUCUUCUCCUCACGCAGGCACCAGGUGGUGAAACACCACACCUCGCUCAUUUGCGGGUGCGUCGUCUGUCUGAGGCUGUGCUGUCGUCCAGCACAGUCUGGCCGAAGAGUGUGUAGGUUUUACCUGUAACUGCAGAGUUGGCAGGAGACGUCCCUUCCAGCAAAGUUCAGGUGCAGUUCGUUCUGGACGUCUUUUCCAAGAAGCAAAGCCUCUGGCGUCUAAGAUGUGCAGCACCGGCUCUGCUGGCAGCAGAGGCGCAGAAGGCUUUUGGACUUGACGGAACUAAGACUUUGAAUCGUGCAUCAGUACCUGAACCGGGUCAGGACCACUUAGGACCAGACAGACCCGUGUCUUCUCCCCCGGAGGCCGCGCGCGGGCAGCGGAGAUGCAGACGAGACCCGGAUAACAGUGGCCUCCAUCUGUUGUCAGCGGUCAGGUGCAGGACAAGAAGCACAGCUACAGAAACAGGAGGAAAAGGCUAAUCACGGGAGCAAACUACAAGCUGGUUUUUGCGUCCAGAGAGCAGCCACUGGGGCCAGAGCUGGAAGCUCUCUGGACGCAGGAGGAGGGCAGAUUCCCUCUGACGGUUGGCAGUGUGGGUGCUUUGAUGAUGUCAUCGGGCCCUGGCGACCUCGGGCCUCGGCAACUUCAGGCCAUGGUCUGGGGGCUGCUGUGGUGGCCUCCUUGGGGCCCGCAUCUCGCGGUCCUGCUUCGGCAUGUGGAGAGGGUGGUUUUAGUUCCUCGUGCUUCCAAGUAGCAAAAUGGAAGGAAACCUGGAAACGUUACUUGGAGAGCUGGGGCCAGAUAUUUGGGGAAACUAGGAGAAUGUAGGGUCCCGCCCAGCUUACAGGGCGGUAAGACAGCCUCGAGGGAGGCAGGCAGGACCGAGCCUGGCACCGGGCACACGGGCGCUUCGGCGGAGACCAGUUCCUCCCCACAGCAGUCCCGUUUUCACCGAGGAGAAUCGUUGACCUGGGUCUGGUCAUCCACGUAAGUGGAACAAAAAUCAAGAUUUUUGCACAUUCCGAUGGUGACAGAAGCUUAGGUCAUACCUGGGGACUUUAUAAAGUCAUGCUUGGUCCCUAAAACUGUCUGAUAAUAAGAAAUCUCAGAUUCGAGAUUACAGGGAGAACAAAUUUCUACUUCACUUCUGUAAGCACCUAUAUUGCCAUGACCUUAAAAAUACUCAGUAAGUUUCUGAAUCCUGGGCUGGGGACCAAGAGGGCAGAGAAAGACAAAUGUUUCAUGUCUAGUUACAUAAAAAUGUGCGUUGCCAAAUUACUGUGAGUUCUUUCAGCUUAAAACAAAAAAAGAGGAGCGGGAUUCUGCAGCUCUGGAAACCAAAAUGCUGAAGCCCCAGCACUGCGUCAAAGAAAAAGUUAUGAAAAUUAUAAUCUUCCUUAUUGGUUCUCUCAAUGCCCGGUAAUUCAUUCUUGUUUGGCUCGAUUUGGGGUUGGCGGUUUUAUGAAUCAGUCAGUCUCUCCUUUAGAGCUUUAGGAAUUCCUCCCAAGACUCAUGGGAUGCCCAGGAAGUCCGAACCCGGUUUCUUGGAGCAGCUGUCAGAGCUCGGCCCGGGAUCCUUGCAGAUGAACGGCUUUUUCCUACAGGUGACUGUAAACGCUUUCAGAGAAGACUCUAGAAAAAACAUGACCUGCGGGCCACGAAAGCUGUGAAAAUAGCCGUGGCGGAAGAUCUAGGGAGAGUUCACCCACAGAAAAUGAUGCCAUCGGCAAGUCAGUUGGGUUAGUUCCGCGACGUGCACGGUUUUAAUAUAACCAUUGGAAGGGUGACUCAUUAUACGGACAGUAAGGACACUGACAAUUUUGAGGGAUUUUGUGCCGUUUUGGGUGUUAGCAACACACACCAUAACAUAUUGACGGAGGAAGGUGAGUCUCACUCGUAUUCAACCACGUUUUCUGCGUGAUUCAACCGCCGAUUUCGCCUCCUCGCCUGGAUGAGGAGAGAGGACCCAUCUUCUGAGAUCUUCCAGGGACCGAAGGGUGGAGGAAGCGGCCAGGAGCAGAGGGUCGGACCUGCGGCCGCACCCCAGACCGCCCGCGGGGGGCCGGGGCUGGGGUUGGGUCAGUCGCCAGCGGCCAGUGAUUUAAUCAAACAGCCUGUGCGAUGAAGCGUCCAUAAGACCCCAGGACGGGGCCUGGAGAGCCACCGGGCUGGUGAACAGGUGACGCGGGGAGAGGCGCCUAGAGACACGGAAGCCCCUCGUCCUUUUAGGAUAAACCCGUGAUCUGCUGAGCGAGUGUUUCUCAGGACUGCUCUAGAAAAUUCAUCGAGCCCACGAAGGGGUCCUGGGAACCCCCAAUCUAUAGCCAGUCAGUCAGGAGCCCAGGUGACAGUGUGGACUUGGGGCUGGCAUCCGGGGUGGGGGUGGCGUGGGGGGCAGUCCUGUGGGACUGAGCCCUGAACCUGGGGAGGUGGAGUCAGAACUGAGCUGGAGGAGUUCCCGUCGUGGCUCAGUGGUUAACGAAUCCGACUAGGAACCAUGAGGUUGUGGGUUCGAUCCCUGGCCUCGCUCAGUGGGUUAAGGAUCCGGUGUUGCCGUGAGCUGUGGUGUAGGUCGCAGAGGCAGCUUGGAUCCUGCGUUGCUGUGGCUCUGGCAUAGGCCGGUGGCUACAGCUCCGAUUAGACCCCUUGCCUGGGAAACUCCAUAUGCCGCGGGAAUGGCCCUAGAAAAGGCAAAAAGACAAAAAAAAAAAAAAAAAAAAA
rnacentral:lncRNA from 1 species